AGAAUCAACGCUGGCGGCGUGCCUAACACAUGCAAGUCGCACGAGAAAGGGUAGCAAUACCUGAGUAAAGUGGCGCACGGGUGAGUAACACGUGAAUAAUCUACCUCCGAGUGGGGAAUAACUGAGAGAAAUCUUAGCUAAUACCGCAUAACACUUACGAGUCAAAGCAGCAAUGCGCUUGGAGAGGAGUUCGCGGCAGAUUAGCUAGUUGGCGGGGUAAUGGCCCACCAAGGCGAUGAUCUGUA
rnacentral:rRNA from 1 species